GAGAACUAAUAAUCUGAGGAAUGGAAUGAAGGAGUAACGCCCCGAAACGUUCCCACUGAUACUCCGACAAGCAUUAGUCAAAAGCUGGUGUUUGAAGCUCGGUGAAGUCGGCAGAAGAUUACCGUAAUUUAUUCUUAUUAGAGUAAAACGAAAUUUGUUCAGAGGUGAAUGAUGUAAUUGAUAUGCCGGGUGUCAAUUGU
rnacentral:ncRNA from 1 species